UACGAAGGGGGCUAGCGUUGCUCGGAAUCACUGGGCGUAAAGCGCACGUAGGCGGAUUGUUAAGUCAGGGGUGAAAUCCUGGAGCUCAACUCCAGAACUGCCUUUGAUACUGGCAAUCUCGAGUCCGGGAGAGGUGAGUGGAACUGCGAGUGUAGAGGUGAAAUUCGUAGAUAUUCGCAAGAACACCAGUGGCGAAGGCGGUCAACUGGCCCCAUAACUGACGCUCAGGCACGAAAGCGUGGGAUAGCAAACAGGGAGUA
rnacentral:rRNA from 1 species